rnacentral:rRNA from 1 species
GCUACCUGCAGUCGAGCGGUAACAGGAAGCGCUUGCUGCUUCGCUGACGAGUGGCGGACGGGUGAGUAGUGUCUGGGAAACUGCCUGAUGGAGGGGGAUAACUACUGGAAACGGUAUCUAAUACCGCAUAGCGUCGCAAGACCAAAGAGGGGGACCUUCGGGCCUCUUGCCAUCGGAUGUGCCCAGAUGGGAUUAUCUAGUAGGUGGGGUAACGGCUCACCUAGGCGACUAUCCCUAUCUGGUCUGAGAGGAUGACCACCCACUCUGGAACUGAGACACGGUCCACACUCCUACGGGAGGCAGCAGUGGGGAAUAUCGCACAGUGGGCGCAAGCCUGAUGCACCCAUGCCGCGUGUAUGAAAAAGGCCUUCGGGUUGUAAAGUACUUUCAGCGGGGAGGAAGGGAGUAAAGUUAAUACCUUUGCUCAUUGACUUUCCCCGCAAAAAAAGCACCGGCUAACUCCGUGCCAGCACCCGCGGUAAUACAGAGGGUGCAAGCGUUAAUCAGAAUUACUGGGCGUAAAGCGCACGCAGGCGGUUUGUUAACUCAUAUGUGAAAUCCCCGGGCUCAACCUGAGAACUGCUUCUGAUACUGGCGAGCUUGACCCUCGUAGAGGGGGGUAAAAUUCCAUGUGUAGCGGUGAAAUGCGUAGAUAUCUGGAAGAAUACCGGUGGCGAGCGCGGCCCCCUGCACAAACACUGACGCUCAUGUGCGAAAGCGUGGAGAGCACA